rnacentral:telomerase_RNA from 1 species
UAGGCCCUGGAGGGGUUCUUGUGCUGUCUAACCCUAACUGAGGUGGCAUAGGCACCCACUUUUGCUCCCUGUGUGCUAUUUUUCUCACUGACUUUCAGUGGGUGGGAAAAGCCUUCGCUUCCAUGAUCUUCUGGAGCAAACAAAAAAUGUCAGUCCCUGGCCCGCUUGCCCUUACCGGGAAUCUGGGGAGGCUUACUCGCCCAGCCCCUGCUCUCCACCUAGAGACAGUGGUCGGUCGGCCUGGGGCUUCUACGGAGGCGCCCAGUGCAGUGUAAAGAAUUAGUGUCUGUUAACUCCAGAUCCUGCUGGGGCCAAGGGUGAGGCUAGGGCUGCCAGGCUGCGGGAGGAGGUACCGAACCAGUCCUCUUGCACAGUGUGCUUCCCUGAGCCGUGGGACUUGCACCCAGGACUGGGCUCAGGUUUGU